rnacentral:misc_RNA from 1 species
UUAUGGCCGGUGGAGAAGCCUCUCAAUGCAAGAAGAUGGCGAUGGUGCAAGCGUCCAAGGAGCUGCACUUCUGUAUUGAAGACAUUGUCAUUCAAAGCUCUCAGUUCUUUUACCAAUGCAACUCUGCCAUCUUGAAAUUUAGCAUUAUAAGCAGCACUCCGAGGAUUGGUGUAAACAACUCUGUUGAACCCACCAGUUGCCCUUUUUAUUUCCGUGUAGGAAAAACGCCUCACGUACAAUAUUGGCACAGAACGAG